ACCCCCCCCCCCCCCCCCCCCCCCCUCGCUGGCUCGGCCUCCUUCCUUCUCCCGCCGCUAUGGGUCUGCAUCUUCUCAGGCGCGCGGCUACCGCCGCUCGGGGCUUCUGGCGCCGCCACACGCUGCCAACAUCACUGCCGACCACUGCCGCACCCCUCCACUCCGCGAGAUGCGUGGUUUGAACGGGGUUCUUGCAUUUAUUUCAGAGCUGUGAGCAGGUCAAUGUCGAAGGUUUGUGAAGAGGGUUCGGAAGUUGUAAGUCGCACGGGUGAGUCCCAGAUGUCUGGGCGGAAUUCCUGCCGGGGAUGCUGACCACAGCUGAUGCCCUUACUUUGGGGAUCUGCUACCUUGAGAGCUCCGACACCCUCACCAUGGAGCAGAUAAGGACCAUCUCUCUAGAGAAGGAGAACAGGGAUCUUAGGGGGGAGACUGAGGUUGGCAACAAGGCCCAGCAGCCCAGCACCAAGAGCAGCUGGUGGAAGGGUUUGUUUCCUUCACGAUUCAAUGAGAUGCAAUUUAAAAAAGCAGAGAUAGAUCUUCAGUCCAAUAUUAGCAUUAUGAGGUCUGUGGUAAGCUGAUUAAAUGGUGCGUAGUCAUCAGCUUGAAUGAUUGAUGGCAAGAAGCUGACCAAGUUUGUUCGUUUAGGUUCUCAUUUUGGUAAUCUCUUCGUCGUACUAUAAUGCAACUAGCAAGGUGGCCCACGCAAAUAGCGCGGGUAGCUAGCUUCUUUUCUUUUUAAAAUUUACGUUCUUUUUACUUCAAAAUAAUUUGUCCAAAUAUUCAUGAUGUCAUUGUUAUUCUUUUGUUCAAAUGACAGAGACCAUGGUGUCACAUUUGUUAUCAUCAUAUUUGUGGUGGACGAUGAAUUCUUUGUAAAAAUAAUACAUUAUACAAAAUAUAUCUUUUUUAUAAUCAGAAAUAUAUCUUUUAUUCUUACUGAAAGUAUUAUAGUUUUGGUCUUAUAAUGUGAAUUCCUCAUAGAGAGUUUUAGGUACAGUGAUAGCUAUUUUUAAGGUUAUUAGAAGAUAUAAAUGUGUUAGUAGUGUGUGGUCCGUAUAGAAUAAAAGCUUGUGAAUGUAGUUUGGCCCCACUCGACCAAAUUAUUAUAUCUAGCUAGGCUAGCUAUAUUUGACUUCUCCAUUCAAUCUUGUAUUGCAGAUACAUUCAUCGGCCUUGUAGCCAUAGCAACAUUGUGUUUUCACUUUUGGUGUCAAGAGAUAUACUUUGCUGAAGGAUGUGCAUGCCAUGGCUGCAUCCAUGGUGUCUCUUCCCACGAUGGCCCACAUUACCAAUGUGGGUGACGACAUCAUAGAAGUUGAGGGUUCCAUAGAUGCAAGCUCCUUCUUAUGUAAUAGUUAGAUUGUGAUAAUAGAUAGAUCUAUAUAUUCUUUUGUUUUCAUACUAAUGAAGAGUUCCUUCUAUCCUAUUCAUCGUGAAUUUUAAUUUCCAUACAGAAUCUAAGUCAUAGCAAUACAUACACAACUACAACAAA